rnacentral:rRNA from 1 species
GACAGAGGUGCCAAGCGUUAGGCGGAAUCACUGGGCUUAAAGCGUGUGUAGGCGGAUGCCUAAGUACCUUGUGAAAUCCCACGGCUCACCCGUGGAACUGCUGGGUAUACUGGGUGUCUUGAGCCAACUAGGGGUCGCCGGAACAAGUGGUGGAGCGGUGAAAUGCGUAGAUAUCAUUUGGAACGCCAAUGGUGAAAACAGGUAGCUGGGGCUGUGCUGACGCUGAGACACGAAAGCCAGGGGAGCAAACGGG